AGUUGCCAUGACUAUGGCUGCCAGGUACAAGAGACAAGUGAUUGGCUAUCAGUUCCACCUUGAGGCAGAUUCUUCCUCCUCUCCUCUUCCUUCUGCCACCAACUGCUAAAGUUCAGUGUGUGUGUGUGUGUGUGUGUGUGUGUGUGUGUGUGUGUGUGGCCAGAUGCAGUGAUGCUCAACUGAGAUGUCAGGCAGCAGGGACCCAGUGUACCAAGACCUGGGCGUAGGCUGACAUUCGGUAUAACGCCUUGGCUUUCUGGGUUUCAGGGACAGCUGAUGGUUGGAGAAACAGGCGGGGCACCGGAUGAAAUGACAGUGCCCAGGAACCCAAAGAGGAAGCAAGGAACUUGGACACUUCUCCCUGGGCAGAUGCCAGAUCUGUUGCCUCCAGGAUCUGCCCUUCCCCCUGCAAGCCUGACAGUCCCCGCCCCUUGCCUCUUACAGCAGGACUUUGCAAACAGUCUUUCCGGAUGGACACUGGACACGGCUGUGCCUCCUCCCUGAACACUUUCCAUUCCCAGACUGAGCCUCAGCCACGGCUCCUCAGGAAAAUUGGCCGAAAGAGACAUUUUCCAUGCUCUUGACUCCUCUGGCCGUGCUGGCACGCUCCAGCAUCUUCUCCCCCUGGUAAACCACACCCAGAAAGAGGAUGCUGUCCGUCAACCUGCUGUUACUCAUCCACCACUUAGUCUAAAGUCAUUUCAUCUCUCCAGGCCUCAGUGAUCUAAUCUAUGAAUAAACUAUUCAGGCUGC
rnacentral:lncRNA from 1 species